rnacentral:rRNA from 1 species
CCUACGGGAGGCAGCAGUGGGGAAUAUUGGACAAUGGGCGCCAUGAAUCCAGCAAUGCCGCGUGUGUGAAGAAGGCCUGCGGGUUGUAAAGCACUUUAAGCAGGAAAGAAGGUUUCAAGGCUAAUAUCCUUGGAAAUUGACGUUACCUGCAGAAUAAGCACCGGCUAACUCCGUGCCAGCAGCCGCGGUAAUACGGAGGGUGCGAGCGUUAAUCGGAAUUACUGGGCGUAAAGCGCGCGUAGGCGUUUGAACUAAGUCUGCUGUGAAAGCCCUGGGCUUAACCUGGGGAACGGCAGUGGAUACUGGUCGGCUAGAGUAUGGUAGAGGAGAGCGGAAUUUCCGGUGUAGCGGUGAAAUGUGUAGAUAUCGGAAGGAACAUCAGUGGCGAACGGGCUUCCUGGUCCAGCACCGACGUUCAGGCACGAAAAGCGUGGGGAGCAAACAGGAUUAGAUACCCUGGUAGUCCACGCCAUAAACGAUGAGGACUAGACGUUGGAGGGGUUAGCCUUUCAGUGUCGCAGCUAACGCGAUUAAAUCCUCCGCCUGGGGAGUACGGCCGCAAGUUGAAACUCAAAGGAAUUGACGG